GUAUAGUAGUGCGUGUGCACAACAGUAAUUUCAUUACAUUCGAGUGUGUGUAAAAAUCCUCUGCCAGCCGAAGCUAGCAAGAGGCCAAAGGUUCACAGGGUAUUGGAUGAAAGUCACCAACGUGCACUUGCCGAAGCCGGCCAGCACUGAAGGCAACGAUUCGCAAUCAGUAAUGAUCCUUCCGCAGGUUCACCUACGGAAA
rnacentral:misc_RNA from 1 species